UGCACUGAGACCAAUGGUUUUCAGCGCAUUUUCACAGUCAUGUAACUAGGAACUUUAGUUUUUGGACAUUUAUGAGACUAUAAUCUCUGGUGCAAUUACGCCAAAUUUUAGUGCUGGGUUUUCCAGAUUAGUGAGAAAGGGGCCAGAUUCAAUCAGAUGGCGAUGCACGUUUUAAAGGCAACGUUCCCACGUUCGCGGAGAACACAUUAAUGCUGGAACCAGGGUGCUUUGCAUGCAGAUGAGCCGAGGAGUUGACUCUCUUGGAAAGCAGAAGCAGACACAAGGAGGGGCACGAGAUGAAGAGGAGGAUGAAGAGAAAGARGAGGAGGAGAGGGCAUAACCACAACAUGACCAUACAAGAUGACCUACUGUAUGACACCCCCAUUGGACCACGGUCUGAUUGUAGACCCACAGCCUG